GUAAAUAUAAUUUAAUCAAAAUGCUAGAUUGUGAUUCUAAACAUGGAGGUUAAACUCCUCUUAUUUACC
rnacentral:tRNA from 1 species